GUUGACGUAGCUUAAUGUUAAAGCACGGCCCUGAAGCGGCCACGAUGAGGCCCCCGCCCCCAUCAACA
rnacentral:tRNA from 1 species